GGGCGUUUGGUCUAGUGGUAUGACGCGUGUUUCGCAUACAUGAGGUCGGGGUUUCGAUUACCCCAUCGUCCA